rnacentral:rRNA from 1 species
UACGUAGGGUCCGAGCGUUGUCCGGAAUCACUGGGCUUAAAGGGCGCGUAGGCGGGUCUCCCAGUCUGUGGUGAAAGCCCUCGGCUUAACCGGGGAAGUGCCGUGGAUACUGGAGACCUCGAGGAGGGUGAGGGGCAGUCUGGAACAGUAGGUGGAGCGGUGAAAUGCGUUGAUAUCUACUGGAACUCCGGUGGCGAAGGCGAGGUGCUGGACCCUUUCUGACGCUGAGGCGCGAAAGCCAGGGGAGCAAACGGG